AGACCCGAAACCCGGUGAUCUAGCCAUGGGCAGGUUGAAGGUUGGGUAACACUAACUGGAGGACCGAACCGACUAAUGUUGAAAAAUUAGCGGAUGACCUGUGGCUGGGGGUGAAAGGCCAAUCAAACCGGGAGAUAGCUGGUUCUCCCCGAAAGCUAUUUAGGUAGCGCCUCGUGAAUUCAUCUCCGGGGGUAGAGCACUGUUUCGGCUAGGGGGCCAUCCCGGCUUACCAACCCGAUGCAAACUGCGAAUACCGGAGAAUGUUAUCACGGGAGACACACGGCGGGUGCUAACGUCCGUCGUGAAGAGGGAAACAACCCAGACCGCCAGCUAAGGUCCCAAAGUCAUGGUUAAGUGGGAAACGAUGUGGGAAGGCCCAGACAGCCAGGAUGUUGGCUUAGAAGCAGCCAUCAUUUAAAGAAAGCGUAAUAGCUCACUGGUCGAGUCGGCCUGCGCGGAAGAUGUAACGGGGCUAAACCAUGCACCGAAGCUGCGGCAGCGAACGUAUCACCCAAGACAACUUUACGGAGUUGACGAUUGACGGAGCGAAGCGACGUCAAAGCGUUCAUUAAAGUCGAGUUGGCUUAGGGAUACGUUCGUUGGGUAGGGGAGCGUUCUGUAAGCCUGUGAAGGUGUGUCGUGAGGCAUGCUGGAGGUAUCAGAAGUGCGAAUGCUGACAUAAGUAACGAUAAAGCGGGUGAAAAGCCCGCUCGCCGGAAGACCAAGGGUUCCUGUCCAACGUUAAUCGGGGCAGGGUGAGUCGACCCCUAAGGCGAGGCCGAAAGGCGUAGUCGAUGGGAAACGGGUUAAUAUUCCCGUACUUGGUGUUACUGCGAAGGGGGGACGGAGAAGGCUAUGUUGGCCGGGCGACGGUUGUCCCGGUUUAAGCGUGUAGGUGUGUGUUCCAGGUAAAUCCGGUUCACUUUAACACUGAGGCGUGACGACGAGGCACUACGGUGCUGAAGCAACAAAUGCCCUGCUUCCAGGAAAAGCCUCUAAGCAUCAGGUAACACGAAAUCGUACCCCAAACCGACACAGGUGGUCAGGUAGAGAAUACCAAGGCGCUUGAGAGAACUCGGGUGAAGGAACUAGGCAAAAUGGUGCCGUAACUUCGGGAGAAGGCACGCUGACACGUAGGUGAAGUGAUUUACUCAUGGAGCUGAAGUCAGUCGAAGAUACCAGCUGGCUGCAACUGUUUAUUAAAAACACAGCACUGUGCAAACACGAAAGUGGACGUAUACGGUGUGACGCCUGCCCGGUGCCGGAAGGUUAAUUGAUGGGGUCAGCGUAAGCGAAGCUCCUGAUCGAAGCCCCGGUAAACGGCGGCCGUAACUAUAACGGUCCUAAGGUAGCGAAAUUCCUUGUCGGGUAAGUUCCGACCUGCACGAAUGGCGUAAUGAUGGCCAGGCUGUCUCCACCCGAGACUCAGUGAAAUUGAACUCGCUGUGAAGAUGCAGUGUACCCGCGGCAAGACGGAAAGACCCCGUGAACCUUUACUAUAGCUUGACACUGAACAUUGAGCCUUGAUGUGUAGGAUAGGUGGGAGGCUUUGAAGUGUGGACGCCAGUCUGCAUGGAGCCGACCUUGAAAUACCACCCUUUAAUGUUUGAUGUUCUAACGUGGACCCGUAAUCCGGGUUGCGGACAGUGUCUGGUGGGUAGUUUGACUGGGGCGGUCUCCUCCUAAAGAGUAACGGAGGAGCACGAAGGUUGGCUAAUCCUGGUCGGACAUCAGGAGGUUAGUGCAAUGGCAUAAGCCAGCUUGACUGCGAGCGUGACGGCGCGAGCAGGUGCGAAAGCAGGUCAUAGUGAUCCGGUGGUUCUGAAUGGAAGGGCCAUCGCUCAACGGAUAAAAGGUACUCCGGGGAUAACAGGCUGAUACCGCCCAAGAGUUCAUAUCGACGGCGGUGUUUGGCACCUCGAUGUCGGCUCAUCACAUCCUGGGGCUGAAGUAGGUCCCAAGGGUAUGGCUGUUCGCCAUUUAAAGUGGUACGCGAGCUGGGUUUAGAACGUCGUGAGACAGUUCGGUCCCUAUCUGCCGUGGGCGCUGGAGAACUGAGGGGGGCUGCUCCUAGUACGAGAGGACCGGAGUGGACGCAUCACUGGUGUUCGGGUUGUCAUGCCAAUGGCACUGCCCGGUAGCUAAAUGCGGAAGAGAUAAGUGCUGAAAGCAUCUAAGCACGAAACUUGCCCCGAGAUGAGU
rnacentral:rRNA from 1 species